rnacentral:rRNA from 1 species
CCUACGUGAGGCAGCAGUGAGGAAUAUUGGUCAAUGGUCGCAAGCCUGAACCAGCCCAGUAGCGUGAAGGAUGACUGCCCUACGGGUUGUAAACUUCUUUUAUAAAGGAAUCAAGUGAGGCACGUGUGCCUUUUUGUAUGUACUUUAUGAAUAAGGAUCGGCUAACUCCGUGCCAGCAGCCGCUGUAAUACGGAGGAUCCGGGCGUUAUCCGGAUUUAUUGGGUUUAAAGGGAGCGUAGAUGGGUUGUUAAGUCAGUUGUGACCGUUUGCGGCUCAACCGUAAAAUUGCAAUUGAUACUGGCAGUCUUGAGUACAGUUGAGGUAGGCGGAAUUCGUGGUGUAGCGGUGAAAUGCUUAGAUAUCACGAAGAACUCCGAUUGCGAAGGCAGCUUACUAAACUGCCACUGACAUUGAUGCUCGAAAGUGUGGGUAUCAAACAGGAUUAGAUACCCGGGUAGUC